UGGAAUGCGCAGAUAUCAGGAGGAACACCGAUGGCGAAGGCAGGUCUCUGGGCCGCAACUGACGCUGAGGAGCGAAAGCAUGGGGAGCGAACAGGAUUAGAUACCCUGGUAGUCCAUGCCGUAAACGUUGGGCACUAGGUGUGGGGCUCAUUCCACGAGUUCCGUGCCGCAGCAAACGCAUUAAGUGCCCCGCCUGGGGAGUACGGCCGCAAGGCUAAAACUCAAAGGAAUUGACGGGGGCCCGCACAAGCGGCGGAGCAUGCGGAUUAAUUCGAUGCAACGCGAAGAACCUUACCAAGGCUUGACAUGCACGAGAAGCCACCAGAGAUGGUGGUCUCUUUGGACACUCGUGCACAGGUGGUGCAUGGUUGUCGUCAGCUCGUGUCGUGAGAUGUUGGGUUAAGUCCCGCAACGAGCGCAACCCUCGUCCCAUGUUGCCAGCGGGUUAUGCCGGGGACUCAUGGGAGACUGCCGGGGUCAACUCGGAGGAAGGUGGGGAUGACGUCAAAUCAUCAUGCCCCUUAUGUCUUGGGCUUCACGCAUGCUACAAUGGCCGGUACAAAGGGCUGCGAUACCGUAAGGUGGAGCGAAUCCCAAAAAGCCGGUCUCAGUUCGGAUUGGGGUCUGCAACUCG
rnacentral:rRNA from 2 species